rnacentral:rRNA from 1 species
UACGGAGGGUGCGAGCGUUGUCCGGAAUCAUUGGGCGUAAAGGGCGCGUAGGUGGCCCGGUCAGUUCGUGGUGAAAGCGCGGGGCUCAACCCUGCGUCGGCCAUGAAUACUGCCGCGGCUGGAGCACUGUAGAGGCAGGCGGAAUUCCUGGUGUAGCGGUGAAAUGCGCAGAUAUCAGGAAGAACACCCGUGGCUAAGGCGGCUCUCUAGUACGGUACUGACGCUGAGACGCGAAAGCGUGGGGAGCGAACAGG